GCCUUCGUGGUGUAGUGGUCAUCACGCUCGGCGCGUAUUCGAGAGGUCCGUGGUUCGAAUCCCGGCGAGGGCA
rnacentral:tRNA from 1 species